UCAGGCCAUCCAAUUAAUAAUGCGGCUCAGUUGCCAUUAAACAAUUUGGCAGUGCUGACUGGGACUGGAUAUGAACAUGGUCAAGAUGAUUAGAUUAGCCAUGUAAUUGCCCCAGUUCUGUGGCAAAUUCAUAAUGGAGUCUUUCAGUUUUCAUGCAGUUCAGCGUGAUUCAAGAUGAUAUAAUUUUGAAGAAAUUACACGUUUUUAUUUUUAAAACAAACUCUACAACAAUGAGUGUUACUUACACAUUAAUUUAUCAUCUCAGAAGAAACACGGUGUUUUAAAAAAUGCAGAGAUAAUAAACAUCCCAGCAGUCCCAUCCCUGCCUUUUCAUUGUACUAAGAUUGGUGAUGGAGCUUUGGUCAGGGAUUUAUCAAGGGAAUUUCUGCAACUUAAUGUUUCAAGUCUCCUAGGGCUGGGUCUUAUUGUACAGAGCAAAAUUGCUACAGAUUUAGUAUAUUUUUUUAAAAAAUUCACCAGUAUUUUGGUCAAUUAAUUAACUUGGUUUAGGUGAAUGGGAAGAAGUAAAGCAUGCUCUGUGUAUUUUUAUCAUUUAGUUGUUGCUAAGACUCACCAAAGGCCUCAAGGCAAAGAGUUUUAAUUAAAGAAAUAUGUGGGCAGGAAUCUGCCUGCACAGCUUAAGAGUAUGUUACCAUUUAUGAAGUUGGAAUUCCCUAACAUUAAUUGGAUCAAGCAUAUGGAAUCUAUAUUAGGCAAUGCCCUUUAAUGUAGUCCCUAGAGUGCUGACAUGUGCCAUACAAAUAGGUGCCUUCUGAUAAUGUUCAGUCUUCUUCACUUUCCCCUUCUUGCUUUUAUAGCAUGGGUGUGCCUGGCUUUGGGGAUAGGAAGAUGAAAAAGCUACGGACCAUGCCUGAAGGAAACCAUGAUCAAGUAGGAGAGACUGAUGUCUAAGCAAGUAACUAAAAGAGGAUGACACAUGACAUAACAGCAGUAGUCACAAGGGACAGAAACAGCACAACGGAGAUGGGCUCUGUCUAGGAGAGAAGGUAGUGAGGAAAGAUUUGUAGAGGGAAAGCUUUCCAUGAUUAAGCCUUUGAAGGAUUAAUGGGAGUUCACCAGGCAAAGAAGGUGAGAAAGGGCAUUCUAGGUCAAGGAAACAGUAAGUGCAAAGGUGUAUUUGGAGAAGUACAAUGUGUUUGGUAUUCUUAUAGUAUAAAGUCCAAAGAGGAGAAUUGUUCAGCAUGACGUUGGAGAUGUGGGGUGUGUGUGGGACGUUACAUGAAGUGCUUCACGUUCUGUGCUAAGGAGUUUAGAGUUCACACUGUUGGUACCUAAAGAUUUUAAUAGGAAAUAAUUUGGUCAAUUCAUAUUUUAUAAAGAUCUAUCUGGUGGAUGUGUGGCAGAUAAAUAGGUAGAAACAAGGUAGGGUUGGUUAGGAAGCACUGUACUAACCCAAGUCUUGAAUGAUGUUGAAGGUCUGUACUAAGGGGCUGUGGGAAAGUGGGAUAGAUUUGACAGAGAUUUAGGAGGUAAGAUCAACACAGCUUAAAUGGUUGCGGUGAGGGAAAAGUAAAGGUAUAGGAUAAUGCCAAGGUUUCAGCAUGAGUAACUUGGUGAAUGGUGGAGCUACCAAGUGAGAUAGAGAAUACAGAAGAAAUAUCAGGUAGAGGAGUAGAAUGUGGGGUUGGGGAUGGACAGUGAGUAAAAUUUUGGACUGAUGUCCACAAUUUAUGUUAAGUGGAUAUGUACUGAGCUUAGAAGUAGACGCAGGGUAAUAUUUUGGAAGUGAGGAAUAUGAGAUACUUUUGAAACACCAAGAAGAGAUAUCUCCUAGGUGGUAGAUUUAUGUGAUCAGAGUUCAGGAUAAAGGCCAAAGCUGUACACAGAAAUUUAGGACUUACUAGCAUGGAGGUCAUCAUUAAAUCUAUGGAAAAGUUUGCCCAAGAGUAAGAAAAGGAAGAGCAAAGUGUAGAAUUGGGGGAAGCGCCAAUGUUUAGAGAAAUAUGAGAGAAUGAGGCUGAAAGAAAUUUUCAAAGACAGAAGAACUAAUUAAGUAUGAUAUCUAUACUUCCAUCCAUCUAUCCACCUACCCACACACCUACCUGGCCACCCAUUUAGUCAACAGAAAUUCAUUUAUUGAGAAUUUAUGGUAUGUCAGGGACACAGACUGUAAUAGGCACUGCAGGGAUCACAGAGAUUAAAGAAAAAUGUGAUUUUUACUCUUAAAGAGUUUCUAAUCUAGUCAGAGUAAGAGAUUUGGGAUGUUAAAUCAUGUUCAUUUAAAAAAAGAAAAUUUAAAAAGACUGAGAACAGUGGCCGGCACCUGCAAUCUCAGUGGUUUGGGAGGCUGAGGCAGGAGGAUUGCUGGAGGCCUGAAGUUUGAGGCUUCAGUGAGCUGUGAUUCUACUGCUGAACUCCAGCCUGGGUGACGGAGCAAGGCCCUUUCACCAAGAAAAAACAAAAAACAAAAAGUAAUAAGAAGAAGGAAAAAGAGGGUGAGGGCAAGGGGAGGCCAAUUUUGAUUAACUUUACUCAUUUCAAGUUUUAGACCUUAUCGCAGUAAUCCCGUGUGAGUCUAGAAGAUUUUGUUAUCUAUAUAUUUUGAGAGAAGCCCUCCUCAAAAUUUGUUUUUGACAUGAAAAGCCAGGACCUUUUGUAUGAUAUGAGAGUAGGAACACUUUAUCACUUUUUUUGUAUCAUUAAAAAGAAAAAAAAAUAGUAGUAUCAGUUGUUUGAAAUAUACAUUGAUAAUAGAAUGAAUAAAAAUUAAUAUGUUUAAUUAUUUUAGGUAUAGUUUUUGCUGAAGUCAGGUUGACUGGACUUUAUGGUCGUCUAAGGAGGCUUUUUAGUGCUUAAGAAGCUCACUUAUGAUUUUUCAGAAAUAUACAUGCUUAGCCAUCAACUGGAAAGUCAGUUUUUAAAAAUGUAACAUUGCAUGGAGGAAUUAUUCAUAGAACUUAUUUCAGAUAUCUCCCGUACAUGCUCUGUAAUGGGUUCAGUCUUCCUUGAAGGAUUUUAGACUUCAGACAGAACUCCUGCUAUGAAAUCAGCUUCUAUAGAAUGAUUAAGCCUCAUAUAAGUCACUGAAAUAGUGUCGAUAUUUCUAAAACCGGCACGGAAUUGAAGUUUCCAUGACUUUUUUUUUUUAAAGGAUGCAGAUGUUAAUGCUUAUACUUGCAGAAAUAGAGCAUUAUAGAGAAAAAGAUACUUUAAGAGGAUCGUCACCCAGCAUAUUCUUUUCUCUCUCUACCCGCAGCAACUAACUAGUUCAUUAUUUAGUUACUUCUUAAACAUUUCCAAUGAAGUCUUCUGAAGACUGUCAUGGGAAUGUUCUUUGGAGCUUAUUUCUAAAAUCUAGUGGAUGCAAAGGGACUUUUUUUCUGGACCUCUUGGCCCACGAGCUUUUCAACUCUUUACUUUCCGGUUGUAUGUAGUUGAAAAAUAACCUUUAUGCACAUUGAGCCAGGCUAUUACAUUUAUUUUGUGACCAAAUGAAAUAAAAUGUUUGUACUCAUAAUGCAUUAAUUAAUAUUUCUCUAAUUUUCAAUUCCACAGUGAUACACUUUCAUUUCCUCUUUAUUAGAAAGAGGAAAUGAAUAUAACAGGAAGAGCUAAGGAUUUUAGCAAUCUUGUAAAGUCUGAUACAAACCUAAUGGUAUCAUCAGACAUGCAUUUAGGUGUGCAAAAAUGUGUUAUGUAAGAUGCUUCCCCUAGACCCACUCACCAGCCCUGCCAAGGCGGCUGGGCAGCAUGGCUCCCCUCUCCAGCAUGGAAGGACAGACGGACUGCCCUGAGGAGGCAGGGAGGGGAGGGCUAGGCCUGCUGGCUGACGGGCAGGUCACUAUGCUGAACUUCUGCACUGCCCCCACCUGCAUGCGAAGGAGCACCCAGUCCAACCUGGCUUUCUUCAGGUUCUCCAGGGACCUAGCCAGAUGCCAAGAGUGGGUGGAGAAUUGUAGGAGAUCAGACUUAGAAGAUAAGACUCCUGAUUAGCUAAAUAAACAUUAUUGAUUAUGUGCCAAACAUUUUGAGACCUCUAUGACCUGUAGAACAAGUCCUUAUAGGACAGUUCUUCGAGGUAAUGCAGUACCAACAAUAUUUGAUCUUGCCAGUCAUUUGGGCAACCUACAUAGUAGACAGAAAGCAAAUAAAAGAACUGAGUGAACUCGAAGUCAGGACACUGAAACAGAAAAAAACUGAUAAAACUUCUGAACAGGAACAAGAACAUAAAGAAACCAACAAUAGCAAUGCUCAGAACCCCAGUGAAGAAGUGGAUGAAGGACAAGAUGAGACUUUUACCCCUAACCCCUGAAGAGAAGGAAAACAAAUACCUAAAAUCUCUAUUUAAAAUCUUGGUUCUUAUGGGAAAGCAAAACGUACUUCUGGAUGGACAUGAGGCUGAUGAAAUCCCAGAAGGUCUCUUUACUCCAGAUAACUUUCAUGCGCUGCUGGAGUGCCAGAUAAAUUCUGGUGAAGACAUCCCAAGAAAGCGCUUUGAGACAACAGCAGUUAACAUGUUUUGUUCAAAAACACAGCAGAGGCAGAUGCUAGAAAUCUGUGAGAGCUAUAUUUGAGAAGAAAUUCUCAGGGAAGUGAGAGACUCACCCUUCUUUUCCAUUAUCACUGAUGAUGUAGUGGACCCAGCAGGGGAAGGGCACCUGCCUGUGUUGGUGAGGUUUGUCGAAGAAGCUCAUAACCUAAGAGAGGAAUUUGCAGGCUUCCUGCCUUAUGAAGCUGAUGCAGAAAUUUCAGCUGUGAAAUUUCACACUGCAAUAACUGAGAAGUAGGGAUUAAGUAUGUGGCCAGGCUUAUGUUGUGUCUAGUGGAUUUUCAUCCAAAAUGAAAGUUGUUGCUUCUGGACUUUUAGAGAAGUAUCUCCAAGCUAUCUUCACAGUCUUCUCUUCUGUGCUUUAAAUAUGUGGUUGGUAAAAUCAGUACCUGUUACGGGAGAAGCUAUUGCAUUAGGAACAAUUGAGAAAGUUUGUUCUUUUUUCCAUCGAUCACCACAACUGCUUUUAGAACUUGACAAUGUUGUUUCUGUUCUUUUUUCAGACAAGUAAAGAAAGGGAUGAAGAACUGAGGGAAAUCUGCCAUUCUCAGUGGACAGGCAGGGGUGAUGUUUUUGAAAUUUUAGUAGAACUCCUGCGAGCAAUUGUUUUAUGUAUAUAUGGUAUCAAUAGUGACAUAAAUAGAUGGAAUAACUGUAUAAUUGGCCAAGGGUUUGUACUCUGCAGUGCAGUGGCAGAUUUUGAUUUCAUUGUUGCUAUUGUUGUUCUUAAAAAUAUCCGAUCUUUUACAAGAGCCUUUGGGGAAAAUCUCCAGGGGCAAACCACUGAUGUCUUCUUUGCAGCCUGUAGCUUGACUGCAGUACUGCAUUCACUGAAUGAUGUGAUGGAAAAUAUUGAAGUUUAUCAUGAACUUUAGUUUAAAGAAGCCACAAAUUUGACAACCAAACUUGAUAUUCAAAUGAAACUCCCUGGGAAAUUCCACAGAGCUACCAGGGUAACUUGGAAUCUCAGCUAAUCUCCGAGAGUUACUAUAAAAGAAACGCUGAGUGUCCCAACAAUGGAGCACAUUAUUCAAGAACUUAAAGAUACAUUCUCAGAACAGCACCUCACAGCUCUUACUUUCAGGCAUGGGACAACUCAAAUUCAAUACAUUGGAGGAACACCAUGCUGAUGUGUAUAGAAGUGACUUACCCAAUCCUAUCACACUCUCAACCAAGUUUCAUUGUUGGAGAAUCAAAUGGAAAUGCAGAGAGAACGAUAUAGAGCUUCCAUUCACCAUCUGUGAAGACUUCCACCUGCCUGACAUCAAGUUUUUUCCUAAUGUGCAUACAUUGCUGAAGGUCCUGGGUAUUCUUCCUGUGAUGAAGGUUGAGAAUGAGAGGUAUGGAAAUGGUUGAAAGCGUCUUAAAGCAUAUAUGAGGAACACUUUGGCAGAGCAAAGGUUGAGUAACUUGGCUUUGCUUAACAUCAAUUUUGAUAUAAACCACGACUUGUAUUUAAUGGUGGACCCAUCUAUUAAACUUUAUACAAGUAAGUCAGAGCUUCCCACAGAUAAUUCAGAAACCAUGGAAAAUACCUAAGAGACUUAUUAAAAUAGCCUUUCUUAUAUUUGAUAUUUGGAAGAAAAGCCAUAAAGUAUAUGUAGGCCACUUAACCACUAAAUAUCUUUGCCUAUAGGACUCCAUUGAAAACAUUCGUCACUGAUAAUCUACCUGUUUAAAUGGCCCCUGUUUGAACUCUCAUGCUUUGAAGACCUAUCUGUCUUCCAGAAGAGAACACUGAAAGGACCGUGUUUCCUUCUGUGUGAUCUCUGCUGGUGGCACUUGAAUUGUUUCAGUUAGGUCAUUUCAGGCACAGCCUUUAUUAUCCCUGUGGAUCUCUACUUGUUGGGUGUUAUGAAUUCUUUGAAGAAAUAUAUUUUGAAGAGAUGUAGGAGGAAGGAAUACGUUUUAUAAAAUGUUAUAGUGAAGUCCACACUUGACCUUUGACUAAUAGGAGUUUUAAGCAGGUUAAAAAUCUAUACUGGGCAGUUAUAAGAAAUUACUGGAGAAAAGCUUGUGAGCUCUCCAAACAAGGAUUUCAGUGUAGAUUUUGUCUUUCUCAAAUGAACAUGAAGGAACAAAUGACAGUUAGCGUUUGACUGGAAGAGCCUGCCAUUGUUCUGCGUCUCGUUGCUGUUUACAUUCCUUUGUGGAGCCCACAUCUUCCUAAGCUUUUUAGCAGGUGUAUGCUGAACACUUCUGUUUGAUGGUUAAGAUGGAAUCAGAGGCCAUGGCUACUGACAACUAAUUUGUCUAGUUUUUUUUUUUUCUUUUUCCAUGACUCUCUUCUACUGCCUCAUCUUGAUUUUUAAGCAAAACCUGGAAAACCUACAAAAAUAAGUGUUGUGGUUUUUCUAGAAAAAUAUGGAAAAUAUCGCUGUUAUUUUUGGUGAAGAAAAUCAAUUUUGUAAAGUUUAUUUCAAUCUAAAUAAAAUGUGAAUUUUGUUUAA